rnacentral:rRNA from 1 species
UACGGAGGGGACUAGCGUUGUUCGGAAUUACUGGGCGUAAAGCGUGCGUAGGUGGUUCGUUAAGUCUGAUGUGAAAGCCCUGGGCUCAACCUGGGAAUGGCAUUGGAAACUGGCGACCUAGAGUGCGGUAGAGGGUAGUGGAAUUCCCGGUGUAGCAGUGAAAUGCGUAGAGAUCGGGAGGAACAUCUGUGGCGAAGGCGACUGCCUGGACCAGCACUGACACUGAGGCACGAAAGCGUGGGGAGCAAACAGG